rnacentral:lncRNA from 1 species
AAUGAAAGGCCAACCUAAAUCACCUGGUGGCAAUGAUAAACUCUUCUUGUCACCUAACUUUAAUAUUUCAUAGUACCAAACAUUUACAUUUCCAAGUAGCCAUUUCAACCCCAAAAUCACACACAAUAUGCUCACCAUCAAUCCAAUUAAGCCCAUUCUAAUAUAGCUUGGAGUAUUACUUAAGCUUAAUUAAUAUCUAAGAGAACUAUAAUGGAGUUUAUUUUUUUCUUUAUUCCUUUUCAAAGGUUGAGAAAGGAGGAGGAGGAGGAGGUGGUUGAGAGAAAAGAAAGAGUUAGUGUGAGAUGAGUUAGUUUUUCAUAGUACCAAACAUUUACACUUCCAAGUAGCCAUUUCAACCCCAAAAUCACACACAAUAUGCUCACCAUCAAUCCAACUAAGCCCAUUCUAAUAUAGCUUGGAGUAUUAAUUAGCUUAAUUUGAUAUCUAAGAGAACUAUAAUGGAGUUUACUUUUUCUUUAUUCCUUUUCAAAGGCUGAGAAAGUAGGAGGAAGAGGUGGUGGUGGUUGAGAGAAAUGAAAGAAUUAGUGUGAGAUUCAAA